GGUUAAGCGACUAAGCGUACACGGUGGAUGCCCUGGCAGUCAGAGGCGAUGAAGGACGUGCUAAUCUGCGAUAAGCGUCGGUAAGGUGAUAUGAACCGUUAUAACCGGCGAUUUCCGAAUGGGGAAACCCAGUGUGAUUCGUCACACUAUCAUUAACUGAAUCCAUAGGUUAAUGAGGCGAACCGGGGGAACUGAAACAUCUAAGUACCCCGAGGAAAAGAAAUCAACCGAGAUUCCCCCAGUAGCGGCGAGCGAACGGGGAGCAGCCCAGAGCCUGAAUCAGUGUGUGUGUUAGUGGAAGCGUCUGGAAAGGCGUGCGAUACAGGGUGACAGCCCCGUACACAAAAAUGCACAUAUUGUGAGCUCGAUGAGUAGGGCGGGACACGUGGUAUCCUGUCUGAAUAUGGGGGGACCAUCCUCCAAGGCUAAAUACUCCUGACUGACCGAUAGUGAACCAGUACCGUGAGGGAAAGGCGAAAAGAACCCCGGCGAGGGGAGUGAAAAAGAACCUGAAACCGUGUACGUACAAGCAGUGGGAGCACGCUUAGGCGUGUGACUGCGUACCUUUUGUAUAAUGGGUCAGCGACUUAUAUUCUGUAGCAAGGUUAACCGAAUAGGGGAGCCGAAGGGAAACCGAGUCUUAACUGGGCGUUAAGUUGCAGGGUAUAGACCCGAAACCCGGUGAUCUAGCCAUGGGCAGGUUGAAGGUUGGGUAACACUAACUGGAGGACCGAACCGACUAAUGUUGAAAAAUUAGCGGAUGACUUGUGGCUGGGGGUGAAAGGCCAAUCAAACCGGGAGAUAGCUGGUUCUCCCCGAAAGCUAUUUAGGUAGCGCCUCGUGAAUUCAUCUCCGGGGGUAGAGCACUGUUUCGGCAAGGGGGUCAUCCCGACUUACCAACCCGAUGCAAACUGCGAAUACCGGAGAAUGUUAUCACGGGAGACACACGGCGGGUGCUAACGUCCGUCGUGAAGAGGGAAACAACCCAGACCGCCAGCUAAGGUCCCAAAGUCAUGGUUAAGUGGGAAACGAUGUGGGAAGGCCCAGACAGCCAGGAUGUUGGCUUAGAAGCAGCCAUCAUUUAAAGAAAGCGUAAUAGCUCACUGGUCGAGUCGGCCUGCGCGGAAGAUGUAACGGGGCUAAACCAUGCACCGAAGCUGCGGCAGCGACGCUGAUGCGUUGUUGGGUAGGGGAGCGUUCUGUAAGCCUGCGAAGGUGUGCUGUGAGGCAUGCUGGAGGUAUCAGAAGUGCGAAUGCUGACAUAAGUAACGAUAAAGCGGGUGAAAAGCCCGCUCGCCGGAAGACCAAGGGUUCCUGUCCAACGUUAAUCGGGGCAGGGUGAGUCGACCCCUAAGGCGAGGCCGAAAGGCGUAGUCGAUGGGAAACAGGUUAAUAUUCCUGUACUUGGUGUUACUGCGAAGGGGGGACGGAGAAGGCUAUGUUGGCCGGGCGACGGUUGUCCCGGUUUAAGCGUGUAGGCUGGUUUUCCAGGCAAAUCCGGAAAAUCAAGGCUGAGGCGUGAUGACGAGGCACUACGGUGCUGAAGCAACAAAUGCCCUGCUUCCAGGAAAAGCCUCUAAGCAUCAGGUAACAUCAAAUCGUACCCCAAACCGACACAGGUGGUCAGGUAGAGAAUACCAAGGCGCUUGAGAGAACUCGGGUGAAGGAACUAGGCAAAAUGGUGCCGUAACUUCGGGAGAAGGCACGCUGAUAUGUAGGUGAAGUCCCUCGCGGAUGGAGCUGAAAUCAGUCGAAGAUACCAGCUGGCUGCAACUGUUUAUUAAAAACACAGCACUGUGCAAACACGAAAGUGGACGUAUACGGUGUGACGCCUGCCCGGUGCCGGAAGGUUAAUUGAUGGGGUCAGCGCAAGCGAAGCUCUUGAUCGAAGCCCCGGUAAACGGCGGCCGUAACUAUAACGGUCCUAAGGUAGCGAAAUUCCUUGUCGGGUAAGUUCCGACCUGCACGAAUGGCGUAAUGAUGGCCAGGCUGUCUCCACCCGAGACUCAGUGAAAUUGAACUCGCUGUGAAGAUGCAGUGUACCCGCGGCAAGACGGAAAGACCCCGUGAACCUUUACUAUAGCUUGACACUGAACAUUGAGCCUUGAUGUGUAGGAUAGGUGGGAGGCUUUGAAGUGUGGACGCCAGUCUGCAUGGAGCCGACCUUGAAAUACCACCCUUUAAUGUUUGAUGUUCUAACGUUGACCCGUAAUCCGGGUUGCGGACAGUGUCUGGUGGGUAGUUUGACUGGGGCGGUCUCCUCCUAAAGAGUAACGGAGGAGCACGAAGGUUGGCUAAUCCUGGUCGGACAUCAGGAGGUUAGUGCAAUGGCAUAAGCCAGCUUGACUGCGAGCGUGACGGCGCGAGCAGGUGCGAAAGCAGGUCAUAGUGAUCCGGUGGUUCUGAAUGGAAGGGCCAUCGCUCAACGGAUAAAAGGUACUCCGGGGAUAACAGGCUGAUACCGCCCAAGAGUUCAUAUCGACGGCGGUGUUUGGCACCUCGAUGUCGGCUCAUCACAUCCUGGGGCUGAAGUAGGUCCCAAGGGUAUGGCUGUUCGCCAUUUAAAGUGGUACGCGAGCUGGGUUUAGAACGUCGUGAGACAGUUCGGUCCCUAUCUGCCGUGGGCGCUGGAGAAUUGAGGGGGGCUGCUCCUAGUACGAGAGGACCGGAGUGGACGCAUCACUGGUGUUCGGGUUGUCAUGCCAAUGGCACUGCCCGGUAGCUAAAUGCGGAAGAGAUAAGUGCUGAAAGCAUCUAAGCACGAAACUUGCCCCGAGAUGAGUUCUCCCUGACUCCUUGAGAGUCCUGAAGGAACGUUGAAGACGACGACGUUGAUAGGCCGGGUGUGUAAGCGCAGCGAUGCGUUGAGCUAACCGGUACUAAUGAACCGUGAGGCUUAACCUU
rnacentral:rRNA from 1 species